rnacentral:rRNA from 1 species
UUGCCAGACUCCUACGGGAGGCAGCAGUGGGGGAUAUUGCACAAUGGGGGAAACCCUGAUGCAGCGACGCCGCGUGAGUGAAGAAGUAUUUCGGUCUGUAAAGCUCUAUCAGCAGGGAAGAAAAUGACAGUACCUGACCAAGAAGCCCCGGCUAACUACGUGCCAGCAGCCGCGGUAAUACGUAGGGGGCAAGCGUUAUCCGGAUUUACUGGGUGUAAAGGGAGCGUAGACGGUUAUGUAAGUCUGGAGUGAAAGCCCGGGGCUCAACCCCGGGACUGCAUUUGAAACUGUCAGGCUGGAGUGCAGGAGAGGUAAGUGGAAUUCCUAGUGUAGCGGUGAAAUGCGUAGAUAUCAGGAGGAACACCGGUGGCGAAGGCGGCCUGCUGGACUGCAACUGACGUUGAGGCCCGAAAGCGUGGGGAGCAAACAGGAUUAGAUACCCUAGUAC